rnacentral:lncRNA from 1 species
CGUCAGGAUUUCAAUGCUGCGUGGAGUUGGCUGUUCAGAACUGUAUUUACCGCAUAGGGUUGCAAUGCAACUCGGAACUGACGAAGUCCUUUCAGGGUUGUGUUGGUCAAUGCUCUAAUUAACAGACCUGAGAUUGCAUAAAGCUUAAAGCUUUUGUUGAAGAGCUUAAGCAGAUGAUCACACGAAUAAAAGCAGCAAGAUUAAGACUAAAGUGUUAACCUAGCUAGCCUUCUUCGUGAGAAUGAUUUGCUUGAUUUUAUUUUAUUUGAAUUCAUGGCUUCUCUUCUACUGUUGGCUAUGCUACUAACAUGGUAGUAGGCAUUGCAGCAGGUUCCUAUAUGGAUAACUCCCACCAUUGACAACAGAUGCAAAACAAGGUUAAAAGGAUAAUAGAAUUACAUAUAUUCAUAUACUAACCAUGCACUAUAUAUGGCAUGAAGUUGUUAUCACAGUGUGCAGACAAAUGCCGUGUGCUGCUGGAACCAACGCAGAGUCUACUAGGCGUUAUCUGUGCUGCCCACCCAAUCCUGACUAGAUAAGCACUUGAGUUUUUUUUUUUUUUAUCCAGUUGAUUUGAAGUGUUGUUUUGAUAUAAAAUUUUUGGAAGGAAGAGAUAUUUUUCUUUAAUAUUAAUAUCAAUUUGAUAUUUGUAGUUUAACUCACUAAAUAUAUAAUUUGUGUUUUUAUUUAAUAAUUUUAUUUUUUAAAAAUAUCUUUUAUUUGUUUAUAUAAUAGUUUAAAUAAAAGCAAUAGAAACUAGUAGAAUUCAACAUUAAUUAAACAUCGUAAUGUUUGUGAUAACUUUAUAAAUAUCAAAUUCAAAUAAAUUAUGAUAACUAAUUAAAAUCAAUCAAAUGUUAAAAGAUUUUUUUAAUAUUAAAAUAAUAAUAUAUUAAAUCAACCUGAAUUUUACGGUUUAAUUUGUAAAACCCAUAACUUAAAUAAUAAACUCCACUUGAAAAAUAAUAAUAAAAAAAAACAUUAAGGUUAUUAGAUGAUCAAGCACAAACAACAAUAAUAAUUCAAGAUUUUUACUGAAAGUAGAAUCCAUUAUACAUGUUGUUGAUUAUUGAGUUAUAACCCGUCUGUAUAUGAAAAUGAAUGAAUUUAGCAUAGCUAUUAAACCCCGUCGACCUGGUGGCUCGACUAGUCUAGGUUUGUUAAAAGACCAGCCGAUGCAAUGACCCGGCAAAACUCGAUCGACCCAUGACCUGGACGAGAUCCGUGUUUUUUUUUUCAAAUGUGGUUUUUCUUCUAUACUCCUUUUUUUCAUAUUUUUUUAGUUGUUUAUUAACAUUUUUUAAAGUUCAAUAUUUAAAUAUUAGAAAAAUAUUUUAUUUUUUCAAUGUAGGAUUUGAAAUCCUUUAAUAUAUACUCUAUGUUCCCAAGAAAAAAGUUAUUUUUUCAAUGUGGGAUUUCAAGCCCUUUCAUAUAUAUACUUUACGUUCAUAAGAAAAAAGUUGUGUUUUCUCAAUGUGGGAUUUGAAACCCUUUAGUAUAUAUACUCUAUGUUCCCAAGAAAAAAAUUGUUUUUUCAAUAUGUGAUUUGAAGCCCUUUUGUAUAUAUAUAUACUCCAUAUUCACAAGAAAAAUGUUAUGUUUUUUCAAUGUGGGAUGACAAACUUUUUGAUUUAAAUACUUCAACUUAAAAGGAUAUAAUAUCUUUUCAAUGUGGGAUUUGAAACCCUUUAAUAUAUAUACUCCAUGUUUCCAAAAAAAAGUUAUUUUUUUAAUGUGAGAUUUGAAGUAUUUUUAUAUAUACACUCUAUCUUUACAAGAAAAAAGUUAUGUAUUUUUUAAUAUGGGAUUUAAAACCUUUUAUUAUAUAUACUUUAUGUUUCCAAGAAAAAAAUUACUUUUUAAAUGUGGAAUUUGAAGCCCUUUCAUAUAUAUACUUUAUGUUCAUAAGAAAAAAUUUAUGUUUUUCAUUGUUGGAUAAAGAACUUUUUGGUUUAAAUAUUUCAACUUAAAAGAAUAACAUAAUAUUUAUUUAAUGUGGGAUUUGCAGCUCUUUAAUAUAUAUACUAUAUGUUCGCAAGAAAUAAGUUAUUUUUUCAAUAUGAGAUAAAAAAAAGCUUUUUUGGUUUAAAUACUUCAACUUAAAAGGAUAAUUUAAUAUUUUUUCAAUGUGUGAUAAUUUUUUUUUAAAAAAAUAUUCUUUUAAACUUUAUUAUUUACAAUAUGUAUAACAUAUAUUCAUAUAGAUUGUUUCUUAAUUUUUUCAUAUAAAAUAUAAAAAAUUUUAAUUUUUUUUAAAAUUUUUCUUAGUUGACCUAAGUUAACCCGAAUUGACCGAUAAAAUCUAAAACCCGGUCACUUAACCAAGCCAACUAACAGGUCGGAUUUCAUAACUAUAUCAUUUAGUCCAAAUUAGCUACUAAAAAUAGUAACUGCUUUCUUUACUUUAUAUAUAUAUAUAUAUGUAUAUAUAUAUAUAUGUAUAUAUAUAUAUAUAUGUAUAUAGGCCCACGAGGAAUGGACUGGUCCAAAUAGUAACUGCGUUCUUUACUUUUAUAUAUAUAUAUAUGCCCACGAGGAAUGAACUGGUCCAGAUUUCUGGCGUUAUCGUGCGAUUACACGCGAGAAAUCUACCAAGCUCGAGCGGGCGGAAAACUUUUGAUACCAUCGUAGUUUGAUUACAGAUCUGAAUCCUCUGUAUAAAUUAACUGAUAUUGUGAAGAACCCUUGUCAUUGUAAACAUAACUUUUCAAAAUUAUAAAGCAUAUCUACUUUUCUGGCGCUGCUCUUCGCCAAUCAGCUUUUUUCAAGGAAAACAUGUUGAAAUCUAGGGUUAAGAUUAAAAAAGAAGAUGCAAGGGAAGAUGAAGAUGAAGAUGAAGUACAACAAUCAGAUUAGCGAGAAGAACAAGCAUCAAAAUUCUAGAUGGAGAAUUAUCGUAUUGUAAUGAGAAGUUCCAGUUUUCCAGACUGCAACUGUAGAAAUGACAAGGACACCUGCUAAGAAGGCCAGUAAUCUGUCGUGAAUGAGGAAAUUCAUGGAUAGUGGCAGCGAGAUUUAGCAUGAAGCAUUUAACUUGUUUUCUCUAUUGUAAUUCAUGUCGCUAGAGGUAAUAGAAUUGCACUUGCACCUGCUGACUGCUGUUCUUUCCAGCAUUUAUAGAUCGAGAUAUGACUUGGUUGAAAGGAAAAAUCGCAGAGUCAACCUUGUUUUUUUUUUUUUAGUAGUUAAAAUUUUAUUAAGAAAAAGGUUACAAAAAUAAUAGUCUAACUUACAUCAGAUGAACAAGCAAAGAAAACAAAAGCACAAAAACUGUUGUAUGAAAUAGGAUAGAGCAACAAAUGGGGGGAGCAAACAAAUCAUAAGAAACCAACUCCUCCCGACUAAACAUUCUCUAUAUUAAGCUCUAAAGAGUUGGAAUCAAGCCUCAGCCAUAAAGCAAUACUUUGGCGCACCAUGGAGAAACAGAUUUGAAGGUUAGGGGCAGCGUCAUUAAAAAUAACAUCAUUUCGGUGAAGCCAAAGAUUCCAAACAACGAAUGAGAAAAGAAGAUGCCAUGAGAGAUUCUGCUGCUUGUCUUUAACCAUAGAAGACCAUUGGUAGCACAUAUCAACAACAGAUUUUGGAAAAACAGUGCAAAAGCCCCGAUUAGAAAGCAGUUUCAUCCAUAUAUUCCAAGUGAAGUGGCAGUGAAUGAAGAGGUGACUUGAAGAUUCCAAGCUUUUAUUGCAGAAAGCGCAUCUUGACUCAUGAAGGGUGAUGUAGUCAUGCUGAAAUAGAAAAUCUCUUGUGGUUACUUUGUCUUGGACAAGGAGCCAAAGGAAAAGUUGCACUUUUGGUGGGGUUAGUUUUAUCCAAAUAGAAGAUUGGAAUGGUUUGGCACCACCGUAGAGCAGCUGGUCCAUCAUUUGGAGCAAGAUUUUACACUGAAGAGGUCAUCGCUGUUGAGGGUCUAGAUUUUCUUAUCCAUCUUGUGGCAGAACAUUGGCUUGGAUUCCAGCAAGGAUGAUAAAAAUGAUAGUUGUUCUUGUUCAAAAUGAAAUAGAGGUCUGCGCCAUUGUAGGGACCAGAGCCAGAUUCCAUUGCUCCAUCUACCCAUGUCAGCCACCAAAGCAGAUUUAGAGAAAGACAAAAGAUAUAGCUUAGGGAAGGCUGUUUUGAGAGGUAGUCACCAAUCCAGUUAUCUAGCCAAAAUGAUGUUAAACUACCAUUCUCCACCAUGAAUUUGCAAUGAUUCGUGAAGACGUGGUGAGCGUCGGUUUGAACAAUGGACAUAAUAUCCUUCCAGAUCUUGGAGGGUUGGUUGUAGAAAAUUAGGAUCCCAUUCUCAUAAGCUGGAUUGUACAUUGAAGAGAUAAUCAUUUUCCAUAAACUUGUACCUGGGGAAGAGAGUCUCCAAAUCCAUUUUAGCAGCAGGGCUCUGUUUUUUGAUAUAAGGGAGCUUACACCGAGGCCUCCUUAUUUCUUAUUGCGCAUCACUAGUCUCCAUUGGAUCUUGUAGAAAGAUCUUUGCUUGGUACAUCCAUACCACAAGAAAGGUCUUUGGAUGGAUGAAAGAAGCCUGCCUACCCCUUUUAGCAUCUUGAAUACAGACAUAAAAUAUAUAGACAGGGAAUUAAAGACACUUUUAAUGAGACAUGCUUAGUAAUCUUCCUUUUCACAUAUGAAGCCUUUUACGAAACUUCUCUAUCACUGGCUUCCAUGUAGAGAUACAAGAUGGAUUGGCUUCUAGUGGCAUGCCAAGAUAUUUUCUUGGGAGGGAGUCUGAUAUGCAGAAAAUAGAUUUAGCCAAGCGCAAGCACAAGUGAUCGUCGACAUUGAUACCAAUAAUAGAGCUUUUAUGGAAGUUUAUAUGAAGGCCUGAAGUCAGAGCAAACCAUCUUAAAAUUCUUUUGACUUGAACUAACUUAUCAAUAUCUGUCAGGAUGAAUAUUAACGUGUCAUCUGCAUAUUGUAGAUGGCUGAUGAAAAUUCCUGAUGCAAAUUACAGCCCUUUGAUAAUAUUCCUACUAGAUGCCCUUUGAAAGAGGACCGAGAGGCCCUCAGCAGCUAUGUCAAACAGAAAAGGGGAAAUCGGGUCUCUUUGACGCAGUCCUCGCCGAACAGGGAAUUCUUUUGAAGGAGAUCCAUUGAUGAGGACCGAGAGUUUUGAUGAAGAAAGACAUUCAUAAAUCAUGGUUCUCCAUUUUCUGCCAAACCCCAUAUAACCCAUGAUAUAAUCUAGGUAAUCCCAGGAGACUGAGUCGAAGGCUUUAUAGAAAUCAAUCUUGAAAAUCAGACCUGCCGCUUUUCGAUUUUUUAGAUCACUCACCAGCUCAUUUGCAAUCAUAAAGCCAUCUAUAAUGUUGCGAUCUGCUAUAAACGCUGAUUGGUUAAUGCUAAUGAUAUCUUGCAUAACAGCUUUCAGUCUGGAUGCAAGGAUUUUGGCAAUGAUCUUGUAGAUACCAUGAAUCAUGCUGAUGGGCUGAAAAUCUUUAAACUCUAUGGGUUCUACUGUCUUGGAGAGGAUAAUUACGUAGGUUGUAUUGAUUCCUUUGGGUAGCCUUCCUGUUCUAAAGAAGCUUAAGACUACAUCGAGGAUGUCUUGAGCAAUAAAAUCCCAUGCUAAUCUAUAGAAUUUGAAGUUGAAACCAUCUGGUCCAGGACAUUUUGACCCAUCACAACCCCAUACACUGCGCUUCACUUUUUCCAUUGUGAUUUCCUGCUCCAGCCACUCAGAGGAUUCUUUAGAGAGGCAUUUGAAACCCAAAAGAUUUAACUACAGCUUUUUUUCAAAGAGGGAGUCAUACAGAUCAGAGAAAUAAUCCACAGCAGCCUGCUUAAUACCCUGCUGAGAAUCAAAAGUGUUGCCAUUAUGGUGGAUUUUAAGGAUAGAUGAUUUAGCCUUCCUGAAAUUAGCAAUCACGUGAAAAAACUUGUUAUUUCUGUCACCCAAUUUGCACCAUAUCUGUCUUGAUUUCUGCCUCCAAAUAGAUUCAAUGUGAUUGUUGCGAACCUAAGGUCUUUCAACAAAAAGUCUAAAUGCUCCUGCUCUUGGUCGGUUAAACCUUCUUCUUCACAUUUUUCCUCUAGUAUGUUGAUAGCUAAAAAGGUUCGUUGAAGGGCAGCUUCUUGAUUUCCAAAUUCAAGCUUAUUCCAUUGCCUCAAUUUGACUGCAAUAUGAUUGAGCUUUUUGAGAACUUUAAAGCGGCCAGGGUGAAGGGAGCAUGCAUCAUUCCAGAAGUUUUCAAUAAUGUGCUUGAAAUUUGGGUACUGAGUCCAAGAGUCCAAGAAACAAAAAGGACGCCAUUCAUGGUCCUGCAAGAAGUUAGAUAGAAUUAAAGGGCAAUGAUCCGAGAACUCUCUUGGAAGUCAUCGAAGAGAUAAACUAGGGAAGUGAAGAUGGCAGGAUGAGUUUGCGAACAUACGGUCCAGUUUGCUCUUGGACCCUCCUCUGAACUAGGUAAAAUAACCUUCUGCUAAAGGGUAUUCAGUGAGCUCACAAGACUGCAGAAAUCUGCUAAAAGAAUUUGAGCCUGCAGGAUGACAGAUUCCACUAUUUCUGUCUUUCUGUGAGAGUGUUUCAUUAAAAUCUCCUGGUAUUAUCCAGGGAACUUCAAAAGCAUGCUUAAGAAGAAUGAGAUCAUCUCAAAGUUUUUGUCUGUCCUGAUAGUUACAAGGAGCAUAAAUGCCAAUAACAAAGCAAUGAAAAUCAUUAUGAACAUGUUUACCAUAUAAAUCGAUCCAACCAUGACCAUAUUCAAUAUUAGAGACUUCAAAGUUAGUGUUUUUCCACAUAGCAAGCAAACCUCAUUUUGAUCCCUGAGCAUCAUCACUAAACCAAGUCACAUGAUUUUCAUUCCAAAUACGAGAUACAAAGCCAAUGAAACAAUUAGCUAGCUUAGUUUCCAGCAAUAAACAUAUAUCAAUCUUAUAUUCUGUUAUUAAUUUCGUGAUUCUUCUUCGUUUCCUCAUCAUGCCCAAGCCACAAGAAUUCCAAGAAAGAAUAUUCAUGACAAAAUUAAAAGAUCUAUCUGCAAGGACAUGAAUGAAAACUUACUAUUCAUUGUUGUUUCUGCCAAUUUUCCCUCUUCUUUUCUAGCUGCCUUAUGAUAAGCCCAUAAAAUUUUUUCAAGAGAGCUGAAUUACCAAGAUCCAGAGCUUUUCCCAAAUGGAUCAUUUUGUUGACUUCAUUGUGAGACGACUCCGCUGCAGAUUCCUUCAGGUUACAAGUAUUAUUUACCCUGAUAUAAGAGUCUAUAGAAGAUAUGCUUGCUAAAGAGUGCAGGGAGAUGAGACUCCCGGUAGAGGAUAUUUUCUUUAGUCUUGGUUGUUUGGUUGUUGUGGUCCAGUGUUGGUUGGGUGUAAGAGGCAGGUUUUGAGCUUUGCAGUGGGAUUCUAAAGAUUUAUCAUUGCUGACAGGGGUAUAAGGUUGUGGCGAGAAAGAGUCUCUUUUGAAGGCCAAGCUUUAAUGCUCCAGUGGCCUUGCUGAAUUCACAUCGUAUAAGACAAGGCCCGUUCUGCUUGGAGUUGAUUUUGGGAAAGCUUGUUGGUAGAGAAACAGUGGUGGGGAGUCCUAGUAGCCGCUAUUUCUGGAAAGAGAUCUUCAACAACCAUAUGUAGCUGUUAUGUGUUGUCAAUGACAUUUAUUGUGGCCGGAAAGCUAUGAUCGUAGACCUCAUAUGUCCUAUGUGGGUUGUGCUUUCUUGCCUCCAGCGUGUGUGCCUUGUCAUCAGCUUCAAAAUUCUUAUCAGCAAUAGCCAGCCUGCAAAUGUUGUCAUCUCCUGCCAAGUCAAAAGCCAGAUCAGUGUACACUUCAUCAUCUGAGUCACUGUCAGCAUCUUCUCCCUGAAGUAAUGUGGUUUGAAAUUCUGUCAUAGAGUAUGAAAUUCCUUUUGCCUCUGGAUAUCUUAAAGGGUCAAUCUCAUCUAGCUGUAUGUGUACUAACUUGGAGUUUAGCAUGAGAUCUAUAGAGUCGUGGAUCUCCGGCAAGUGAGUACCUAUAAGGAUUUUCACGCUGUGAAGUUCAGAGUUUAGCAUGAGAUCUAUAGAGUCGGGGAUUUCCGACCGCUGCAGAGUCAACCUUGUUGGGGAUUCCAAAGGGAAAAUAUGAUGGUUUAACAGUUAAGAUUUGGUCAUCAAUGCAAUUAGUUGAGGUUCGGGUUUGGAAGAGGUUAAAAAAACUGCAGCGGCCGGAGCCUAAUCUGAUGAAGAGUGGGUACCCUAGGUUGGUUCAGUGGAACAAAUUGAAACUGGAAGUUUAGAAUAUUUCCUUGGUUCUAGACUCUGAAAAAGAGAGUUUUAGCUCUGGAAAACUGGGAUUUCCUCAAGUUUUGUGGAGAAAAAGAAAUGUAGGAGACUGUUGGUUCUAGUUUGAAUGACGAUUUAAUGGCAUUUGCUCGACGCGUCAGGAUUUCAAUGCUGCGUGGAGUUGGCUUUUCAUAACAGUAUUGACCGCAUAGGGUUGCAAUGCAAUUCGGAACUGACGAAGAUCUUUCAGGGUUGUGUUGGUGAAUGCUCUAAUUUACAGACCUGAGAUUGCAUAGAGCUUCAAGCUUUUGUUGAAGAGCUUGAGCAGAUGAUCACACGAAUAAAAGCAGCAAGAUUAAGACUAAAAUUGUUAACCUAGCUAGUCUUCUUAGUGAGAAUGAUUUGCUUGAUUUUUUUUGCUUUGGUAGUUAUGUUAGCAACUCAAGUUUGGUUUUGAAAAAUGAAGCAGAUGAAAGUACUGUUUGGGCUUUAAGCUUUUCAUGACCACCCGGGAGAUUGAAUUUUUUUUUUAAUAGUAAACAGUGAAUUAUAUAUUUAACAGCUCCAUUAAGUAGGUGGAACUGAACGAAAAAUAAAAUACAAUGAAAAUAUAAAAGAAUAGAGAAGACCAAAGCGACGACGAACCUAACAUGGGAGAUUGAAUUCCUGGCUUCUCUUCUUCUGUUGGCUAUGCUACUAACAUGGUAGUAGAGCUUUGGACUGUCAGGCAUGGCGUCAGUAUCGCCAAAGAGAGCUUUAUGGUCUUUUUGUACUUUGAUUGAAGGCUUAGUUAAAGGACUAUAUUGCCCUUCAAAUAAAAAAUGAUAGAGCUUGUGUUUAGGGGCGCUUAGGUCUUUUCAACACGGUUAUUUUGUAAUUAUGUAUUUAGAUGAGGGGUAAUUAAGUCUUUGACCAUAUAUAGAAAAAAGAUUAAAAAAAUGGUUGAUGUGUGUCACGUACACAUUAGCAAGACGAAGGCGUCCACGCUCUUUCGGUGAUGUGUGUCGCCCCUCUUGGUGGUUAAAAGACUUCGUCAAUGAUGAUAUUUGAAACGGUAUUGGCGAGAUAAAUCAAAUAAUAACAAUAAAGGUGAUCAACAAUUAUUGAAGUUUUCACACGCGAUGAGUGGCUUACCUGUUUUUGGACAAAGAGUGUGGUCCACUUCGAUUACUAUUGGUAUUGAUGAUCUUUCUUGGUGUUAAUGAAUUCAUUUCACCAAAAUCUUUUUUAUAGACCUGAUAAUGUUAAAAUCGAAGAUUCAGUGUGUCUAUGAAGUUUUUGUUCUUUCUCUCUCUCUCUCCUUAUUGUUAUUUGCACAACACAUUUAAUUUUUUUUAAAAUGUUAUAUGUUUUUCUUAAGAAGAACUAUGAAUGUCGUGUUUUCAACUGCGAUAUAUAUCAAUUGUGUUAUUUCAUCAAUUAUUUUUCAAGUCAUGUUAUUUUUUUAUUUUUUUAUUAUGACAUGUAUUAAAUGUGCUAUUUCAUUAAUAGUUUUUUUUUCAAAUGUGUUAUUUUACUAUUUGUUUUUUUAAAAAAAAAACUAUGUUAAUUAUUGAGUGUUUGUUUUUUUAUUACAGUCUGUUUUUAAAAUUGCUUUUCGUAAAAAAAAACAUUAAAUUAAUGCUUUUUAGUGAGAAUUAAUAAUUUUUUUUCAACAAGAACUACGAUGUGUAUCAAAUGUGCUAUUUCAUUAAUAUAUAUAUUUUUUUCAAAAUGUGUUAUUUUACUAUUUGUUUUCUUUUAAAAAACUAUGUUAAUUAGUGAAUGUUUGUUUUUGCAUUACAAUUUAUUUUUAAAAUUGAUUUUUGCAAAAAAAAAAGCAUUAAAUUAUUUCUUUUAAAUUUUUUUGGAUGGUUUUGUAUGUUGAUAUAAAUAAUAAAUAAAUAAAAUUAUUUUAAAAUAUUUUCAAUUAAAAAACACUACACAACGUAAUAUCAAAUACACAAUUAAUUUAUAUUAUAAUUAAUGUUCGCAUCCGCCCAAUUCUCUUUGUGGACACAUAAAAUAUAUUCUAUUAAUGCAUGUAAAGUUAAUGAAUACAGUUACAAAAUGGUUUUCUCAAAAUUAUAAAAACAUGCCCCAUGGUUCAAUUAUAAAGCAUAUCUACUUUUCUGGCGCUGCUCUACGACAAUCAACGUUUUUCAAGGAAAACAUCGUGAAAUCUAGGGUUAAGACUAAGAAAGAAGAUGCAAGGUACAACAAUCAGAUUAGCGAGAAGAACAAGCAUCAAAGUUCUGGAUGGAGAAUUAUCGUAUUGUAAUAAGAAGUUCCAGUUUUCCAGACUGCAACAGUAGAAAUGACAAGGACACCUGCUAAGAAGGCCAGUAAUCUGUCGUCAAUGAAGAAAUUCAUGGAUAGUGGCAGCGAGAUUUAGCAUGAAGCGUUUAGCUUGUUUUCUCUAUUGUAAUUCAUGUCGCUAGAGCUAAUAGAAUUGCACUUGCACCUGCUGUUCUUGCCAGCAUUUAUAGAGAUAUGACUAUGUUGAAAGGGAAAAUAGCUGAGUCAACCUUGUUGGGGACUCCAAAGGGAAUACAUGAUGGUUUAACAGCUAAGCUUUGGUCAUCAACUUAAUGAGUUCAGGUUUGGGUUUGGAAGAGGUUCGAUGAACUGCAGCGGCCGGAGCCUAAUCUGAUGAUGAGUGGGUACCCUAGGUUGGCUCGGUGGAACAUUGAAACAGAAAGUUGAGAAUGUUUCGUUGGGUAUAGACUCGGAUAAAGAGAGUUUUAGCUCUGGAAAACUGGGAUUUCCUCAAGUUUUAUGGAGAAAAAGAAAUGUGGGCGACUGCUGGUUCUAGUUUGAAUGACGAAUUAAUGGCAUUUGCUCGAUGCGUCUGGGUUUCAAUGCUGGGUGGAGUUGGCUGUUCAGAACAGUAUUUACCGCAUAGGGUUGCAAUGCAAUUCGGAACUGACGGAGAUCUUUCAGGGUUGUGUUGGUCAAUGCUCUAAUUAACAGACCUGAGAUUGCAUAGAGCUUCAAGCUUUUGUUGAAGAGCUUGAGCAGAUGAUCACACGAAUAAAAGCAGCAAGAUUAAGACUAAAAUUGUUAACCUAGCUAGCCUUCUUCGUGAGAAUGAUUUGCUUGAUUUUAUUUUAUUUGAAUUCAUGGCUUCUCGUCUUCUGUUGGCUAUGCUACUAGCAUGGUAGUAGGCAUCGCAGCAGGUUCCUAUAUAGAUAACUCCCACCAUUGACGACAGAUGCAAAACAAGGUUAAAAGGAUAAUAGAAAUAAAUAUAUUCAUAUAGUAACCAUGCACUAUGGCGUGCAGACAAAUGCCGUGUGCUGCUGGACCCAACACACAGUCUACAAGGCGCCAUCUGUUCUGCCCAUCCAAUCAUGACAAGAUAAGCACUUGAGAGUUUAUUUGAUUUUAUCCGGUUGAUUUGAAGUGUGUGUUUUGAUAUAUAAAUUUUUUAAGGAAGAGAUAUUUUUCUUUAAUAUUUAGAACAAUGAUAUUUGUAGUUUAACUCCCUAAAUAUAUGAUUUGUAUUUUUGUUUAAUAAUUUUAUGUUUUAAAAAUAUCUUUUAUUUGUUUAUAUAAUAAUUAAAAUAAAGGCAAUAGAAACCAGUAGAAUUCAGCAUAUUUAAUUGUGAUGUUUGAUUCAUAUUGUGAUAAUAUUAUAAAUAAUAAAUUCAAAUAAAUUAUGAUGAUUAAAUCAAAAUUUAAUUAAAUAUUAAAAAAAAUUAAUAUUAAAAUGAUGAUAUAUUAAAUUAACUUGAAUUUUAUUAUUUAAAUUGUAAAACCCACAAUUUAAAUCAUGAGCUUAACUUAAAUGUUUUUUUUGAAAAUAAGAUUGUUACGAUGAUCAAGUACAAACAAAAAUAAUAAUUCAAGAUUUUUAUUAAAAGUAGAAUCCGUUAUACAUGUUUAUCAUUGAGUUAUAACCGGUCCGUAUAUGAAAAGGAAUGAAUUUGGGAUAGUUAUUAAACCCGGUUAACCCGGUGGCUGGACUGGUCUAGGUUUGUUAAAAGACUGGCCGGUGCAAUGACUCGGCAAAACUCGGUUGACCCAUGAUCCGGGCGAGACCUGAUGUUUUUUUUUCAAAUGUGGUUUUUCUUUUAUAUUUCUUUUUUUUUCAUAUUUUUUUAGUUGGUUAUUAACACUUUUUAAAGUUUCCUAUAGAAAAAUGUUAUUUUUUUGUUGUGGGAUUUCAAACCCUUUCAUAUAUAUACUUUAUGUUCACAAGAAAAAAAAUGUUGUUUUUUUAAUGUGGGAUUUGAAAUCCUUUAGUAUAUAUACUCUAUGUUCCCAAGCAAAAGGUUAUUUUUUCAAUAUGAGAUUUGAAACCCUUUAGCAUAUAUAUUCUAUGUUUCAAAAAAAAAGUUGUUUUUUCAAUAUGAGAUUUGAAAUCUUUUCAUAUAUAUAUAUUUUAUGUUCAUAAGAAAAAUAUUUUGUUUUUUCAAAGUGGGAUAACAAACUUUUUAGUUUAAAUACUUUAACUUAAAAGAAUGACAUAAUAUCUUUUCAAUGUGAAAUUUGAAACUCUUUAAUAUAUAUACUCCAGGUUCCCAAGAAAAAAAUUAUUUUUUCAAUGUGAGAUUUGAAAUCCUUUCGUAUAUAUAUUCUAUAUGCAUAAGAAAAAAAUUAUAUUUUUUUAAUGUAGGAUAAAUUUUUUUUUAAUUUAAAAAAAUAAUAUAAUAUUUUUUUAAUAUGAGAUAAAAAUUUCUUAAAAUAUUCUAUUAAAUCGAAAAGUAGCUACUAAAACUAGUAACUGUUUCUUUACUUUUAUAUAUAUAUAGGCAGGCCCACGAGGAAUGGACUGGUCCAAAUUUCUGGCGUUAUCGUGCGAUUACACGCGAGAAAUCUACCAAGCCCGAGCGGGCGGAAAACUUUUGAUACCAUCGUAGAUUGAUUACAGAUCUGAAUCCUCUGUAUAAAUUAACUGAUAUUGUGAAGAACCCUUGUCAUUGUAAACACAACUUUUCAAAAUUAUAAAGCAUCUACUUUUCUGGCGCUGCUCUUCGACAACCAGCUUUUUUCAAGGAAAACAUGGUGAAAUCUAGGGUUAAGAUUAAAAAAGAAGAUGCAAGGGAAGAUGAAGAUGAAGAUGAAGUACAACAAUCAGAUUAGCGAGAAGAACAAGCAUCAAAUUUCUGGAUGGAGAAUUAUCGUAUUGUAAUGAGAAGUUCCAGUUUUCCAGACUGCAACUGUAGAAAUGACAAGGACACCUGCUAAGAAGGCCAGUAAUCUGUCGUGAAUGAGGAAAUUCAUGGAUAGUGGCAGCGAGAUUUAGCAUGAAGCAUUUAACUUGUUUUCUCUAUUGUAAUUCAUGUCGCUAGAGCUAAUAGAAUUGCACUUGCACCUGCUGACUGCUGUUCUUUCCAGCAUUUAUAGAGAUAUGACUUGGUUGAAAAGGGAAAAUCGCAGAGUCAACCUUGUUGGGGGUUCCAUAGGGAAAAUAUGAUGGUUUAACAGUUAAGAUUUGGUCGUCAAUGCAAUUAGUUGAGGUUCGGGUUUGGAAGAGGUUAAAAAAACUGCAGCGGCCGGAGCCUAAUCUGAUGAAGAGUGGGUACCCUAGGUUGGCUGGGUGGGAUAAAUUGAAACAGGAUGUUGAGAAUGUUUCGUUGGUUCUAGACUCGGAUAAAGAGAGUUUUAGCUCUGGAAAACUGGGAUUUCCUCAAGUUUUAUGGAGAAAAAGAAAUGUGGGCGACUGUUGGUUCUUGUUUGAAUGACGAAUUAAUGGCUCGAUGCGUCUGGGUUUCAAUGCUGGGUGGAGGUGGCUGUUCAGAACAGUAUUUACCGCAUAGGGUUGCAAUGCAAUUCGGAACUGACGAAGAUCUUCAGGGUUGUGUUGGUCAAUGCUCUAAGUAACAGACCUGAGAUUGCAUAGAGCUUGAAGCUUUUGUUGAAGAGCUUGAGCAGAUGAUCACACGAAUAAAAGCAGCAAGAUUAAGACUAAAUUGUUAACCUAGCUAGCCUUCUUCGUGAGAAUGAUUUGCUUGAUUUUAUUUGCUUUGCUAGUUAUAUUAGUAACUCAAGUUUGACAAAUGAAGCAGAUGAAAGUGUUUGGGCUUUAGCUUUUCAUGACCGGGAGAUUGAAUUCCUGGCUUCUCUUCUUCUGUUUGCUAUGCUUACUAACAUGGUAGUGGAGCUUUGGACUGUCAGGCAUGGCGUCACUAUGAAACCCCCCCCCCCCCCAAUGAAGUUGAAUAUGACUCCUCGGAAGCUCUUCGAUGCCAGUCUUCACAUCUUAUUGUAUUCGCUUCUAACUUGUUUGGUGUCUUUUCAGAAUGGAUCUUGAGAAGGUUAAAAGGAUAAAAGAAAUAAAUAUAGCAACCAUUGCAGCAUGGCAUGAAGUUAUCACAGUGUGCAGACAAAUGAGGUGUGCUGGACCCAACGCAGAGUCUACUAGGCGUUUUCUGUUCUGCCCACCGAUUCUGACAAGAUUUGAUUUGACUUGAUUUGAAGUUUUGUAUUUUGAUAUAAUUUUUUUUAAAAGAGAUAUUUUUUUAAAAUAUUAAAAUUAAUUUAAUAUUUAUAGUUUAACCUUUCAAAAAAAUUGUUAGUGGUAUCUUCAACAGUUUAACAAUUUUAUUUUUUUAAAUAUAUAAUAAUAAAAAUAAAAAUUUAUAAAAUUAAACAUUAACUAAAUAUUAUAAUAUUUAAUUGAAACUAUAAUAAUUUUAUAAAAACAUUAUAAUAACAAAAAAUAAUAAAGAUUAUUAUGAUAAACCAUCACCGUAAUAUUUUUCAAUUCUAAAG